ACACACACACAACCCAAAACGUGUGGUGUGCAGUAUCACUGGCUAACGUAGACUAGGUGUUUACUUUGGAUUGGGGAGCGCGGAGUGGGCUCCGCCGCCCUCGCGGUUGAAUCCCCUCACUCCCGGCCGAGUCAGCUGAGGGCGGGGGUUCGGAUAGUGACUGAUGGAAGAAAGGGACUCAGGACAGGCAGCGUGUGCACUCGCUCCUCUCGUGCGUGCCACGUCCUCUCUCGUUUCACCUGCUGGAGUCCCGGAAUCCUGGGACCUGUUUUAGUUUUCUUCGGAAUAUUUGUCAUCCUGAAUUUUCCGCUUCUGGCCGACCACAGAAGCGUUCUUGGAAUGCAUCUCGUCCCAAUGAAAUGAGGCUGCCCAGUCUGUAAAAGGGAGAUUCAAGUUGGGCGCCUUUGAGGAGCGACUCUCCAUUCUUUCUCUUGGUUUUAAAAGGCAGAGGGCUGAUGGGAGGGCUUUAGGGAUAGGGGGUGGGGAAGAGCACCAGACUUCGCCUGGAAAAGGAGCCAAGUCUCAUGUGACCUCGAGGGGUUCAACCCCACUCCCAGGGGACUAGGCCAAUUUGACUCUGAACACAUUACUUUUUCCAACAAAAGAACAACAACAAAAAGAACACCUGUUCCCACCCCGCAGCACCGUCAUUGUGAUGGCAAGAACGACGUGGAACGCUACGGUUGAGCACGGAAAGUGAGCCAAUUUAAAGCCAAGGUCCCAAACCCUUGAUGAACUUGGAGGAGCCUCUGCUUGAGGGCCGCCACCCUUAGGAUGUAAACAUGUCAGUCAGGGCUUGGAAUUUACGACUUGGGUAGUCAGUCAGGGCUCUAGAUGGUUUCAGCUCCGUUUUUAUUUACCUAGGACAGUAGCCCUUCCCCCUCCGAAGCCCUCACCAGUAACCACCACAAUGAAAAAACAUUUCACAGAUGAAUUGGAAAGCCACUAUUAUUAUGUCAUAUAAUCAAGGCAAGACUCUGAAACUCAUCUGAAAAAGAUGAAGUUUCCCAACAGCUUUCUGGAGGAUAAAAGCCAGCAAGGCAACUCUCGGGUUAUUCUGGUGAUUGCAUCAUAGGAGGAAAUCUGUAUAUUCAUCCCAGAUUUCUGAAAGAGCUAUGAAGUUCCAGCUGAGAACUCACCUCCUUUCAAGGCAGGUGCCGGGUGUGACAGCAGGGUUAUGACCCUCCCUCUCUUCAAAACAGGCUCACAGUGUCAAUAGACAGCCGAGCAAGCCCAGAGUUAUGACUUCACUGAGGGAUGAAGCAGAAGUGGGGAUGAGGCAGAGCCAGCCUUGAACAGGCUUCUAGCUCUGACAUGAAAUAGCCAAGGAAACACAGAACACCGGAGCUGCUAUGUGCAGAGCUGGGGCCUGGCUGCUGAGUGCGAAGGCCUGGACUCUAGUCUGGACUUGGCUGCUCCACAUGAGCUUGAGUCAGUCCUCUGAUUAGCUGGCACUGUGGAAGAGGGAGAUGGAGCAAGUCUAAGGCUCGCGAUGGUGUGGAUGAACGGAUGAGUUCUGGACCGCUGGUCUGGCUGGCCCCAGCCGAGGCAUUCCCAAGACCACUGCUAAAUGCUUAUAGAAGGAACGCUGCUGUAUGGUGAGAAGUCCAGAGCAGAACAUGAAUGAUAUAAGUUGUGUUGUCAAGAAGUGGAGUCUACACCAGGGAUCUGCAAAAGAGAAGUGCUUUGAGAGUCCGUCUCACUCCAGGCACAAUGGCUAUCAUCAAGAAGAUUUGGACCAUGAGUGCUGGGGAAGAUAUGGGGAAAGAAGAACUCUUAUUUGUUGCUGGUAGGAAUGUAAAGUUGAGCAGCCACUAUGGAACUCAGCAUGGAUGGGCCUCAAAAAUGGAAAACAGAAUGAUCAUAUGCCCAAGCUAUUUAAGGUAUUGGGUUAAUACCUUAAAACUCUUAAGUCGAUAUAUCACAGGUACUUGUGUGCUGGUGUUUGCAGCUGCUGUUCAUAUAGCCAGGAAAUGGAACCAGCCUAGAUGCCCAUCAACAGAUGAGUGAAUACAGGAAUUUCAUAUAUAAAAGAAAGUUAAAUUUAUGACAGCAGGAAAAUGGAUGGAACUGGAAAUUAUGUUAAGUGAAAUAAGCCAGUCUGAGAAAGACAAAUACAUUUGGUGAGGGCUCAGUGGUGACAACAGGCAUGGACACCCUCUGGCAUCUGCGCAGACUUGUUCUGAGGGACUGCCAUGCAGCCUGUGUGGCCUCAGUGCUUGGCAACCGAGGAGCAACAGUGGCUGGAAUGGAUGCAAGAGAGCCUGGUCGGAGCUCAGCCUUAUUCCCAAGGGUGUAUUCAGACGUUAGCAAAAUGCCAAGCAGAGAAAUGGGAGUGUUUCAUGUCUGGGGAAAGGAACAGACAGAAGACAAAGAAAUAAAGAGAAGUUUCUGUUGCGGACGGAGAAAGCCAUUACUGCCUUCAGCUCCAAACACAUAAGCAGGGUGGUGACAGCCUUGGAAGCUUCUGGGCCACCACCUCACGCUUCCUUGGACCUGGACAAAGGAAAAAUACCUGGUUGACCUUGAACUCACUAUGAAGACCAAGCUGACUUUGAACUUGUGGAAAUCUUCUAGCCUCAGCUUCCCAAGGGCUGAGAUAACAGCAGUGGAACCACCACACCUGGCUUUUGGCCAUUCAAUAGAUCAGAAUUUGCACAGUGAAAGACUGGCUUCUAUCAAGUUCCCUAGAUUGCAAAUGAAGAAAAUGAGGAAUGCGUACUUGCUAUGGUUCUCGAGAGGAGUGCGGAGGACAGCCUACAGGAGUCAUUCUCUCCCUCACCGUGUGGAUGUGGGGGUUGAAUGCAGGAUGCCAGCCUUGCCAGCAGCUGCCAUUACCUGAUGCGCCAUCUUGCCUGCCAAGCCUUUACUUCUUCUAUCAAGAAAAUAAAACUGGUACACACGUGAGAACCACAUCUGAUUGGAGGCGAAGGAGGAGCCAUCUUUCUGGAUCCCCCAGCAGAACUAACGCACUCAUCUUUCUCUCAGUGUUCCGGUUCUCAUCUAGAUGUGUACAUGGCACGGAGUUCCUUUGGGGAGAAAAAGCCAUGGCAAAGGAGAAGUCAUUUGCUAGUUAUUACCUUCACUCAUUUCUGUCCUCAAGUUGACUUCCCUACUGAAAACACAGCUACCAUGUUUAGCCAUGCGCUGAGCCAGGCUUUGGAUAAACUGUUUUAAGUACAUUAGCAUUAACAUAA